rnacentral:rRNA from 1 species
CUACGGGGCGCUGCAGUGAGGAAUAUUGCGCAAUGGGGGAAACCCUGACGCAGCGACGCCGCGUGGAUGAUGAAGGUCUUCGGAUCGUAAAAUCCUGUCAGAUGGGAAGAAAUGUCUUAUGUCUAAUAUAUGUAAGAUUUGACGGUACCAUCAAAGGAAGCACCGGCUAACUCCGUGCCAGCAGCCGCGGUAAUACGGGAGGGUGCAAGCGUUGUUCGGAAUUACUGGGCGUAAAGCGCGCGUAGGCGGCUAUUUAAGUCAGAUGUGAAAGCCCAGGGCUCAACCAGGGACGUGCAUUUGAUACUGGAUAGCUUGAGUACUGGAGGGGAUAGUGGAAUUCCCGGUGUAGAGGUGAAAUUCGUAGAUAUCGGGAGGAAUACCGGUGGCGAAGGCGACUAUCUGGCCAGAUACUGACGCUGAGGUGCGAAAGCGUGGGGAGCAAACAGGAUUAGAUACCCCAGUAGUC